CCUACGGGUUGCAGCAGUGAGGAAUAUUGGACAAUGGGUGGAAGCCUGACCCAACCAUCCCGCGUGCAGGAAGACGGCCCUAUGGGUUGUAAACUGCUUCUAUCUGGGGAUAAACCUACUUACGUGUAAGUAGCUGAAGGUACCAGAAGAAUAAGCACCGGCUAACUCCGUGCCAGCAGUCGCGGUAAUACGGAGGGUGCAAGCGUUAUCCGGAUUUAUUGGGUUUAAAGGGUCCGUAGGCGGACUAGUAAGUCAGUGGUGAAAUCCGACAGCUUAACUGUCGAACUGCCAUUGAUACUGCUAGUCUUGAGUAAGGUUGAAGUGGCUGGGAUAAGUAGUGUAGCGGUGAAAUGCAUAGAUAUUACUUAGAACACCAAUUGCGAAGGCAGGUCACUAAGUCUUAACUGACGCUGAGGCGCGAAAGCGUGGGGAGCAAACAGGAUUAGAUACCCCGGUAGUC
rnacentral:rRNA from 1 species